rnacentral:lncRNA from 1 species
CUUACUCUAUGGUUAAAUGAGUAUUCUUUUAUUCUCUCUCUCUUGAGAACUGUUUCUUUCAUGCUUAUGCAGGAGGUGUCUAACUCUUCCUUCGAUGGAGUGCUGUCAUCACACUUUCUUUCACUGUUUGAGUCCAUCUGAAACAAGAAAACCAUGUUUUAAAUUCUAAACUGUACAAGGACAGUAAACAGCAACAGUAUAACUGACAAAAAACCAGAAUGUGGCUGUAGCAGUUUGAUAAUUAACAGCUGCAAUAUAAUGAUAUAGUGUAACCUGUUAUGCUCACCCUAAUUAUCUUGUCUUUUGAAUCAUGCAUCUCUUCAUUUUCAGUGUAGUCACAUCUCCCUCCAACCAUUUGGAGCCUCCUUGCACAGACCUGUGAUUGGAUACUCACAAUGGACUGCAAGGACUUAAGAGUACUCAUAGCUUGGCGUCUCACUGCUCUGCCACGAAUGAUAGCUUGUAGUUUCACUAUUCCCUUCAAUGCCCUCAAAGCCUUCCUUGCCUGAAAUUUCAGUUAGUGAAUAGGAGAACACAAUGGCAAGGAAUAGAGUAAACUGAUCUUGGUUUCUUCUUCCACUUAUUAGUAUCAAUUUCUAUCACUACUAGUACUUUUUCUUUUUCCAAGUUUCGUUAAUUCUUGUUCUCUUUGGAGCUGAUUUCUGUAAAAUGUUUGAAGAAAUAUUUUAAUUUCUAACAAAUUUCAGCUUACUUGAUUCACAUGUCUAUCAUUAAGGUCAAGUUUGCAUAAAAUUCUGCAUGAGCACUUAUAGGAGAAGAGAUAAAGUUAACUUAUGUACUCAGUUUUUGUAGAAGUUCUCUCAUCUAAUGUUAAGUUCAUAUUUUUCCUAACUUAAGGAGAAGGUUAUUUAAAACCGACCUAAAUAUAUUCUGUUUUUUUUUCCUAAUUACUCUGAACUCAUCAGUGAGGAAUUUAGCAAUAUAGUUAAAGAUUAUGCAAAGAGUUCUUAAGGUGACACAAAUCAAACAGAAUGGCUUGGAAAAACUCACCAGGUAACCCCUAAAUGCAGUUUGAAUUCUGAUGACUGCAGCAGAUUCUUGAAUGGCCCUCUUGCACUGGUGUGUGAAUUGAGGAGAAGCAUUACUAGUUUUGAGAGGUUGAGAUUCUUCUGACUUUUCUUUGCACAGAAGGGCAGAUUGUGAGACCCCAGUGAGACGAACAACCUCAGCAGCAGCAUGUGCAGCAGUGACAGCAGCUUCAGCAGCAGCUGCUGAGGCAAUGGCCACUGUUAAAGCAUGUUUGCUCUGUUCUUCCUCUGCUUCUCUUAGUGUUUUCUCUUUUGAUGGAAGUGGAGCUGUAAUUGAAGGUAAUCUCUUGCUCUUUAGCCUUCCAAAUAUCCAUUUCCUUCUUUUCUCCUUCAGAAAAAAAAAAAUUCCGCCUCAAAAUCCAAGUCAGAAGAAAUAUUGAUAUUAGCCUUUCAGAAACUCACACAAAAACUAAGUUUUUGUGAGUUUUCUUAGACAGACUAAUAUCAAUAAUAUCUCUUGUAGUGUUAAAAAGCAAACUUCAGACUUACCUUAUCUUGUGAGGGAUGUGUGUCCCUUAAGAAGAGCCUCUUCACCAGACUAAACCAGCUCUUCUUCUUGGCCAUUUAACAAUACCACAUGGGUCAGCUUCAAUAUCUGUGAUCUGAAAAAUUGCCCAUAAGCAUACCCUCUUCUACACAAGAUAUCUUGGUAUGUGGUUAUCUAAAUCUAAACCUUUUGAAGAGUGGAUGUGUGAAACGUACGAUUGGUUGGUGGCGAGGCAUUGAUUUAAGUAAUGUAAUUGUACAACUAAAACGUUAGACGUGUCCAAAAAGACGAAACAGUUUGCAGAACUUGUCGUAGAUUUAGAUUCUUAUAUGAAUAAGUAGUGACAGCAAAGUCCAAACACAUGUACACGACUCAGAACCUUGAUUUCUGAGCAAAAUUAAGCAUGAAUGCACACAAACCAAGAUAGUUGGGAUAAUAAAUUAGGAAUGUAAUGCAGAUUUGGAGAGAGAUCCAAGUUAAUUACGUACCCAUUUUCUGGAAUCCCAUAAAAAAUAGUAGAGCCACCGUUUCAGAAAGCUUGGUGCAUGGGAACAAGUGCAUUAAAGUCAGAUGGAAUAGCCUUGGAACCAGCAAACAUUCUUUAUAAUAUCAGUCACCCAAACCAAGAAUGUGGAACUUUGGGAGGGUUUCAUCAGUGAAUGUGCACAAAUUCCAAGACUCUUUCCUCUAGAGGAGCAGAAAUUCCUAUUCCUAGCUAGCACUGAAAACCUCUUGUGGAGUGGAUAUGACUUUUAUGUGGGUGCAGCUGCAAUCAUUCUUAGUUUCCCUCUUCCUCAAUCUUCAUGAUGAGUUUCUCCUGUUCCAAAAUGUGGGGUCUCCAAGAGAAAGUAAUGCUCAAGAUAAAAGCAUAGCCACUUUGUUUUCAUUGGGAGAGCCAAGAGCCAUUCCUCUUGAGCUUUUCAUUUUCUCUCCCAUCUCUCUUUUUUCCAACUGUAGCAGACAUGUUCAUAUGUCUGUUGGGUUUGAAAUGUCAGCACUGCCCCUUAUUCACCCUUGAUAUCAUCACUGAAUAACAAGCAAUAGAGACUACCCUUCAUUUUUGUAUGUGCUAGUCAAUUAGCUGAGGAAUUGUAGGGUCAAUACCUCAUGUGGUAUAUGUAUGACUACAUAUACUAACUUGUUAUAGAAAAAUAGAGAUAGAGAUCUCAAAAUAUAUAUGUAAAGUAACUAUGCAUUCAGAAUCUGUUUCAGUAUAUAAUAUGUGAUUCAUGAUAAGAAGAAAGGAUAGUUAUCUUUUCAAGGAAAAAAUUGAAAUUUUGAAUAAAUAGAUGGAAUUGUAAACUGAUGUAAAUUGUUAAUAUAUUACUUUUCAUAUGUGAUUUAUGAUAAGAAGAAAGGGUAUUUGUUUUUCAUGUAAAAAACUAAAAUUUUAGAUAAAUAGAUGAAAUUGUAGAAUAUAUGACUUCUGAUAUGUAUAUGACAUUUGUAUGGCAUUGCUUUGCAGUAGUUGUGAUGUGUUUGAAUCAUACAAGUUUGGCCUAAACAUAAAUUGAGUUUGGUUUGUGAAUGUAUGUAAAAGGAAAUGUGAAAUAAUCUCACUUGAUUUCUUACAUCCUGAACAGGUAGGCAUGUGUUGAGAGUAGUCACAUCAAGUACAGAGAUAUGAAGGUGUGAAUAUAUGUACUAUCAGCAUUAUUAGAAAUGUAGUAUGACAGUGUUAGAGAAGCAUUGGGAGACAUUGUUGACAUUGUUACAGGUAGGAGUGGGGAAGUGCAUAAUUGAGAAGUGUGGAGAGUGGACACAUAAUGUGCAAAGGGUAGGGAAUGUGGGGAAAAAAACAAAGAAGAUUUGGUUGAUAAGGAGGGAAGACAGCUGUAAAAGGACCCAAAAGGAGGAAUUGUCAUAAUACAUUCUCACCUCAUCUUUUGAAAAUGAGUGAAGUGAAGUGAAGAGAGAGAGGGUUUGGUUUGGUUGUGGGUAGAGAAGCAAAAGGAGAAAGUGUGACACAAGAGUUUACUCAAAAAACAAGUGUUGGGUGGUGAUGAAAAAAGAUGGUUGUCUAGUGAAAAAUAGACUAAUCAAACAGGUUUUGUUAGCCUUGUCUAUCAACAACAACUCUAACGGUGCAGCAUUAAAAUCAGAGGUUUUGGAGACACCACAUUUCAGAAACUAUAGAGAUCAGAACAUGGCGAGGAACAAGCAAUGUUCAAUGAAAACGAAAUAUGAGUACCUAUUUAAUACAGACACGAACACGA